GGGCCUCUAGCUCAACUGGCAGAGCAGCGGACUUUUAAUCCGCGGGUUCUGGGUUCGAUCCCCAGGGGGCCCA
rnacentral:tRNA from 1 species